UCUUUUCAGGCCGUCUUCGGUGCCUCUGGUAACAGAGGUGAAACUGGGAAUGCGGUGCGGCGAGAAAUCGCCAAUGCCGCGGCUGCCCCCGCAACUGUAGGCGGACUGUGCCCGAUCGAUAAGCCACUGAUGCCGUGCAUCGGGAAGGCGAUCGGGGACCAUGUCCGUGAGCCAGGAGACCGGCCGAAGACGCUGGUCCAACU
rnacentral:ncRNA from 19 species